rnacentral:rRNA from 1 species
UACGGAGGGGGCUAGCGUUGUUCGGAAUUACUGGGCGUAAAGCGCGCGUAGGCGGAUCUGCAAGUCGGGGGUGAAAUCCCGAGGCUCAACCUCGGAACUGCCUUCGAUACUGCGGGUCUCGAGUCCGGGAGAGGUGAGUGGAAUUCCUAGUGUAGAGGUGAAAUUCGUAGAUAUUCGGAAGAACACCAGUGGCGAAGGCGACCCACUGGACACAUAUUGACGCUGAGGUGCGAAAGCGUGGGGAGCAAACAGG